rnacentral:rRNA from 1 species
AUACGUAGGGGGCGAGCGUUGUCCGGAAUGAUUGGGCGUAAAGGGCGCGUAGGCGGCGCGGUAAGUCUGGAGUGAAAGUCCUGCUUUCAAGGUGGGAAUUGCUUUGGAUACUGCCGCGCUUGAGUGCAGGAGAGGUUAUCGGAAUUCCCGGUGUAGCGGUGAAAUGCGUAGAGAUCGGGAGGAACACCAGUGGCGAAGGCGGGUAACUGGACUGCAACUGACGCUGAGGCGCGAAAGUGUGGGGAGCAAACAGGAUUAGAUACCCUGGUAGUCCACACUGUAAACGAUGAAUGCUAGGUGUAGGGGGUAUCGACCCCUUCUGUGCCGCAGUCAACACAAUAAGUAUUCCGCCUGGGGAGUACGGCCGCAAGGUUGAAACUCAAAUGAAUUGACGGGG